GACUAACGCUGGCGGCGUGCCUAACACAUGCAAGUCGAACGAAACAGCAAUGCUUAGUGGCAGACGGGUGAGUAACGCGUAGAUAAUGUGCCCUCUUGCGGGGGAUACCGUUUCGAAAGGAACGUUAAUACCGCAUAAAGUCCUUAGAAGGCAUCUUUUAGGGACCAAACUUCCGGGGCGGGAGGAGCAAUCUGCGUACUAUCAGCUAGUUGGUGAGGUAAUGGCUCACCAAGGCUACGACGGUUAACUGGUCUGAGAGGAUGAUCAGUCACACUGGAACUGAGACACGGUCCAGACUCCUACGGGAGGCAGCAGUGAGGAAUAUUGCACAAUGGGCGAAAGCCUGAUGCAGCGACGCCGCGUGGAGGAUGAAGGAUUUCGGUCUGUAAACUCCUGUCAGUAGGGAAGAGAAUGGACGGUACCUACUGAGGAAGCUUCGGCUAACUACGUGCCAGCAGCCGCGGUAAGGCUACGUAGA
rnacentral:rRNA from 1 species